rnacentral:rRNA from 1 species
GACGAACGCUGGCGGCGUGCUUAACACAUGCAAGUCGAGCGGGAUCCAACCGGUGGCAACACCGGGGAAGAUCUAGCGGCGAACGGGUGAGUAACACGUGAGCAACCUGCCCCGAAGACUGGGAUAACACCGGGAAACCGGUGCUAAUACCGGAUGUCGUCAUUAGGCCGCAUGACCUGAUGAUGAAAGGAUUCAUCGCUUCGGGAGGGGCUCGCGGGCUAUCAGCUUGNGGUGGGGUAACGGCCUACCAAGGCGACGACGGCUAGCUGGUCUGAGAGGACGACCAGCCACACUGGGACUGAGACACGGCCCAGACUCCUACGGGAGGCAGCAGUGGGGAAUCUUGCGCAAUGGGCGAAAGCCUGACGCAGCAACGCCGCGUGGGGGAGUGAAUGCCUUCGGGUUGUUAAACCCCUUUACUAGCAGGGACGAAAUUGACGGUACCUGCAGAAGAA